AUGUUCAUAUUUUGGUGACAAUGUAGACAUCAUUGCAAUUGUCACCUGCCAAAGACUGAAUAUCCAUAUUAAAGUUAUGCAUUUCACUAAUGUACCAAGUUGCAAUGUCAAUUUGCAAGCUGUCUGACUGAUGGUUUAUCUUCUUUGAUGGACCUAAGGUACAUCAAUAUGCAGAAUGAGUCAUCUAAGGAGAGGAAAAAGCAGCCAGAGGACAGAACUGAGCUACUGUCCAGCUCCAAAUACCCUGAACUACCACAAGGUCACGAAAGGCUGCUAGGGAAGAGAAGGCUCCAGAGCAGCUGAACAGCCAGGACAGUUUUCUUCAUUCCAGUACUGAAAAAGGCAGCAUGUGGAUAGAAUACAGCAAGAACUUGUAAAAGCCAGAGAAGAGCCAAGAGAUGUUCAGCUGAGAACACAACUCUGCACAUACUUCCUGUUCACGUGCUCCAACCAGCCAGUGCUCAGCCUGAGACCUAAGUUCAGAGCAUUUCAAGGUGAGUGCACAAAAGCCCAUCACCACCAAAAGCACAUCACAGCAAGGACAGGACGAACAAUGUGGAAGCCCAACACAAAAGCUCUGUCACAGAGUCAUACAACUGCUUUAGUUGGAAGGAACAUUAAAGACCAUACAGUUCAAACUCCCCUGGGCAGGGACACUCAAUGUCAAAGGCAAAAAAGCAAACCCUGCAGUGCUUAGGUCCAGACACCUGAAGUACCAAGUGAUGGGAAAUAAUAUACUUGAAAUUUCACUUUACUGUAUUGUCUAGUUAAUUGCAAAGACAUAAAAUAAUCAGUACUACUCUUACAAAAACAUUUGUAAAACAGAGAA